AUUGAACGCUGGCGGCAGGCCUAACACAUGCAAGUCGAGCGAGUGGCGGACGGGUGAGUAAUGUAUGGGGAUCUGCCCGAUAGAGGGGGAUAACUACUGGAAACGGUCGCUAAUACCGCAUACUAUAGGAUGAGCCCAUAUGGGAUUAGCUAGUUGGUGGGGUAAAGGCCCACCUAGGCGACGAUCUCUAGCUGGUCUGAGAGGAUGAUCAGCCACACCGGGACUGAGACACGGCCCAGACUCCUACGGGAGGCAGCAGUGGGGAAUAUUGCACAAUGGGCGCAAGCCUGAUGCAGCCAUGCCGCGUGUAUGAAGAAGGCCUUAGGGUUGUAAAGUACUUUCGGCGAGGAGGCGUUACCCGCAGAAGAAGCACCGGCUAACUCCGUGCCAGCAGCCGCGGUAAUUC
rnacentral:rRNA from 1 species